AGAGAGGCUGAAGAGACAGAGCCGUCCUGCACAGUCCAGGCACCACCCUGCCCUGCCACUGCCUGGCGGGCAUCUUGAGCUCCAGACCCUUAGCCUCUCCGGGCCCCCCAGUUUUUUCCGGGUAAGAGACUCGAACUGAUGCUCUCUAAGGAUUCUUCAAGCUCUGAAAUUCUCUGCUGACAUUUGCCAGCAGCAAGGUUGACUCGAAUCUGAAACCUCUGGGGAAAGUGGGGGCCUCUCCCAGAAUGGAACCCUCUCUGAACACUUUCCCGGGAGGGACCUUAGACUGUGCUGCCUGUUGCCAGCGUCGCAGGCAGGAGGAGCGCAGUCACUAUGGGUGGGGUGAGUGCAUGGGGGAGGGAGUGAAAGAGCAAAUGUCCAAGGAAGGGCAUAAGAGAAGGGCUCCAGCAAGAAUGCAAAGGAAGAUUUGUCUAAAAUGGCUUUUCAAGGCGGUCAUGAGCUUGCCUCUAACCCAGCAAAGCGUGUGGAAGAAACAUCGGCAGUGAGGGCUCCCAUCUCUCAUUUCUCAAAGAGCCGAGACUUUCAGCGAGGCCACUUGCCAUUCCUGGAAGAAGAGCUUCAAGCUUUUAGACAUCUGCCACCUGAAUCUGGCAGAGGCUCAAGCUUUUAAAGCACAGUGCCGGGUUCAGCAGUUCAGCACUUUAGUUAUGCCUGUAAGGAAGAUGGAAAAUUGAAGUACACUCUGAUGUCUCCCGAAGUCCCCUAUGGGUAAAGAAAAACAAAUAUGAUUUCUCCAAGUCAUCUUGGUGUCUCUGUCCUCUUGCCUUUCUCUGGGAAAUAAAUUUAAGUGAACGGUCGAGCAUCGCGCCUGCCAAAAAUGGGGGCGUCUCCAUCAGAGCUCGAUUCAAAUGCCAACUACCCCGGGCUCUGUUCUGUUAAAGGUCACCUGUCAUUGUCCACCCGAGGCAUGGAGAUUGCUUUGGAGCUCUGAUUUCCAUGGCGGGGAAGGCAUGUUUAUCUUCUCCAAUGUCUUAUUCACCGCUGGCUUAGGCCGAACUGUUACCGGUUGAGUACAACCCACUGGGCCCCUAAUAAGAGCUUGGAAUCCACAGGAGGGAAAGAAAUUGAGAUGCGCUUUGCCAAUGAAGAGUUGUAAACCUUAAAGGUAGGCAAAGAGAAGUCUUUUCAGGAGGGGAAAUUUCCUGCCUGUGAAGGUUCUCAGACACUACAGCAGGAAAUGGAGAACAGUCAUCCCUUUGUCUCCAAAGGACAUGUUUACCCAGAAUGCUGUGCUGAGAGCAGGGGAUGGCAAAGGGACCCUGGAAACCUCUCCCUGACCUCCAAGAGUCAGCAGGAAAGUUGAACCAGCAAUGCAGGCUGGACUGGGGGGCUCUUAGAAAGCUCUUAGGAAAAAAUGUUAAGUGGUAAAUAAACUGAGUUUCAGUAUACUGC
rnacentral:lncRNA from 1 species